rnacentral:lncRNA from 1 species
UGGGCCCUGUGGAGAAGGUUCUCCCCAUUGGCUGCUCCGGAGUCCACCUGCCCUGUCUGAGCAGCCCGAAAGCCAUUGGCCGCCGCCGCUGUCGCUUAGCAAGAAGCCAGCCUUAGUCUUCGCUUUGGGUUGCGAGGGGUGACUAGCUAGCUCAGAAGCGUAGCCAUCCUCUCUCCAUUGGUCGCUCGAAGCUGGACACUGUGCCUCACAUCUACAAACUUAGGAACUCUAGCUGUAUGGCGGCGCGUCUAGGGGAACCUCGUCGGCUCCGUGUGGAACCUGGGUGUUUUAAGUGUUCGUGCCGUUUCCUCAGGCUAAGCCGCGCUCGAACGGAUGCGGUGCUGGGGGUCACAAAAUGAGGUGCCACCCCCAAACAUUACGUCAUCGGGGUGACCAUUGCCUGGGGUUCCUCGCAGUCUAAACUGCUUUAUAAUCCGGAUGGAUGCGGUUCUGGCGUCCGCCUGCCUCUGGGCGUACGCACCACGCACGGCCCCUCCCUCUGCGGGAGAGCUGGACAGACUUUGGGAUUCCGAGUGUAAAAGAAACCGGAACCACCGAGACCUGAGACCUGGGACACGCUGCGACCGGAAGUGGGGGAGGUGACGUUGGGAAGUGCUGGCGUGGCCUGGGCCACAACCAAGGAGAGCUUAAGGGUUCGGAGUGGAACCUAGUGCUUCACCCAGUCCAAGCAAGCAGCCCACCGACAUAGCAGCUUGGCGAGUGUUUUUGUUUUGUUUUGGCGAUACUGAUUAUUGGACGUUGGGAGUCGCACACGCUUGGCAGGUGCACUCGUAACACUGAAGCUACUCUAUACCCUAUCACUUUUUGGGACAGGGUUUCCACUAAGUUGUCCUGCCUGCCUAGUAACUAGGGCUACACUGUUGCGCCAUCAGGCCCAGGUUUGGGUAAAGCUUUUAAAAGAAGGCUCUGUUACCUCCCCUUGGACUCCCAUAGCAGUGGAUCCAAAAAAUUCAGGCUUAUGUAUGGGAGGAAUCUUGGAACCACUACAUUCCACAUGAUGACAUCAGACAAAUCGUUCUACCUCCCUAAACCUAUUGUCUCAUGAAUAAAAUGGUAACUAUAAUAUCCAGGGAAGGAGAAUGAUGCGCUGACAGGUUCCACCCACAUUCGUAAUGGGAGAAGUGACCUUGUGGAGUAAAGAAAACAGAGCUCAUCAAGAGUCUUGAUGAGAACACACAUGGUGCAUUGAUGGGGCAAAAGCUUUUAUAGAACGAGUUCGUAAGAUUGGAGAAGAGAUGCCAGGUAUGGUAGUGUAACCCUUUCACCUAGCAUUUGUGAGGCAGAGCCACACUGAUACAUGGAGUGAGAUCCAGGACUGUCAGCCAGGGCUACAUAAUGAGACCCUGUCUCUGAUGGAUUCCACAAUCCCACAAGGUGGCAGGAGAUAAUCAACCGAGAGUUCUCUGACCACACUGUUCUGUGGGACACAUGGGUGCUUACACACACACACACACACACACACACACACAAAUUAUAGACAGAUAUGCACCACUGUACCUCGGAGAAAAGGACCUCUAAGAUGAAAAAAUUGAAACUGGGAUUGUGGCUCACUUGGUAGGAAGAAUGCUUGCCUAGCAUUCAUGAAACCCUGGGUUUGCGCCUCAGAAAACUCUAAAAGCUGGGGCUUUACCCAGGUCUUCAAAGGUGUAGAGAAGAGGAGCAGAAGAUAAAGUCAUGCUCAAUUACACAGGAAAUGUGAGGCCAUCUAUCUACAUCAGGCCCUGUCUCAAACACCAAUAAAAUAAGAGAAUGUUAAUAAAGUAUGUUGUAGGGGCUGGUGAGAUGGCUCAGUGGGUAAGAGCACCCGACUGCUCUUCCGAAGGUCCGAAGUUCA